AUGGACCUGGACGGCUUCCCACUUGACCACGAGUUUCCGGACGACUACGGGCAAGAGGAAGAGGACGAGUGCGACAUCGAAGUGGAGCCUUUGUUCGAGGACGAGCUCGCCAACCAAGCCGUCGGUCCAAAGCCGAAGCGCAAGAGCAAGCGCACGAAGGCAUACACGGCGGCCGAGGACAAGCUUUGCGAGUGUUGGCGAGACAUUGGACGAGGCCCCAAGAUGGGCGCCGAACAAAAGCAUUCAACUUUUUGGAUUCGUGUCCACCGGGAGUCUCACGAGCGCAAGAAGUUUCCGCCUUGCCAAAUUGUGAGCACGCGCGGGUAGGUGUCCAUUUCAAAGCAAUGGAGGGUGAUCCAACAAGAGUGCAACAAGUUUUGUGCCACUCUUGAGAGCGUCAAGGCCCGCCCCGUGAGCGGCAUCAGCAUGCAAGACAUGGUAUGCUAG
rnacentral:rRNA from 1 species